UAUGUAUGUUAUGUUACAGUAACUCCAUGAUUAAAGUUUGAGUCUAAUGCAAUGAUUCUUAAUGCGAAUGCAUAUAUAUAUAUAUAUAUAUAUAUAUAUGCUUAUGCGUGCAACUACUAUUGGCGUUGUAUGCAUUGCGUCAGGCUCAAGAUUCCAGUUGGGACAAGCAAGCACCAACAGCCAGAUAACUAUUGCAAUUUGCAAGUUUGCAACAACAAGAAGCCUUAAAAUUUUGAGCAAAUUAAUGCUCCUAUUAUUUCACCAAAAGGUUUAUUAGCUAAUUUAGCUUUAUAUACAUUGUUGUUUCGUUUUCUUACAAUUUAGGUUUUUGGAGCCGUUUAUUAGAGGUUUGGUUCGAUUAUGUCAUCAUGGGUUCAAGCCUCCAACUCUCAUUUAUACAUGUUAUCAAUUUUACAUAAAGUGAGACUGCACAUAAGGGAGGGCGUCAGAUGCAUGUACACAUAAAGGAAUCGAUCUGUUAUUUUUUGCAACUAAGUAAUAUAUUUAUUUAGAAAUACAUUUUUGACUUACUUGUAUGCAAUUGCUUCUCUAGAAAGCCCUUAUGCUCAUAAACACAAAUACUUUUCUUAAAGUUUCCUUUGAAAAUAAAAUUUGGAAGUGCUCCUAAAAAAAUAUCUACAGAAAACAUUUUUAACUUUUUUCGCUGAAUGCUGUUAAUUAGAAGCGCUUCUACGGUUUAGGUAUUUUGGCCUUUGUGAUUGUGUAAUAUUUAGGGCCAAAGCUAUCACUUGGUCAAUGUCUAUAUAACAAUUAUAAGUCAUAUUACAACAAUAUUAUUAUUAUUGGGGUAAUAAUACUGUAUAAUAAUCAUGAUAAUAUAUUCAAGCACCCAUUUAUUACUUACUGAUAUUGUGGGUCUUCUUCCUGCAAUUGAAUAUGGUUGUGUCUGUCUUAUCCAAAUGGACCAUGCCGCCUCUUAUACCAUGCAACAUACGUCAAAGUUGAAAUUUAAAACCAUACCUAUCUACCUACUUAUUGUUGAUUUGUACAUAUAUUAAAACCAAGACAUAAUGUAUGAGAAGAACUAAAUCAGUAAGUUCGUAGGGCAAAUUGUUAAAAAUUCGUCGGGCAAUGUUAAGUCUAUAAAUCUCACACUUGCCAUCUCUUUCGAAAUCUCUCCAACUCUCAUACUCCCACAAAGGUAUAAUAUUUAGGGUGCUUUAGAUUUUGGUCCUUACAAUUCAUGAUGCCUAGAUAAAAACUCAUCUCCAUAUAAACGUCUAAUAAAAGCACAAAUUUAAAAUUUGCAGCCACAUCCGAACACUAUUGACCUACUAAUACAAUUUAUUUACACCCAUGCCACUUUCUCAAAUCCCUAAAUUUAUUCCAAAUUAA
rnacentral:lncRNA from 1 species